UACGUAGGGGGCAAGCGUUAUCCGGAUUCACUGGGUGUAAAGGGAGCGUAGACGGCCAUGCAAGCCUGGAGUGAAAGCCCGGGGCCCAGCCCCGGGACUGCUCUGGGAACUGUGCGGCUGGAGUGCGGGAGGGGCAGGCGGAAUUCCUGGUGUAGCGGUGAAAUGCGUAGAUAUCAGGAGGAACACCGGCGGCGAAGGCGGCCUGCUGGACCGCGACUGACGUUGAGGCUCGAAAGCGUGGGGAGCAAACAGG
rnacentral:rRNA from 1 species